UUUACUCAUUCUGCAGAAUUAAGUUGACUUUGUCAUGAAGACCUUUCACAUUUUAAUAUUACUUGCAAUAACAAAAAUGUCUUCGUAUUACAUUACCAUUCAAAGAUAAAAUACAUAAUUUGACGGUCAUUAUUGAAAGUGCUAGGAUAAAUCAUUUUCUGUGAAAGUAAGUGUCUACAUUACACCACUAUUUGAACACAUUCCAGUAGGUCUAAUGUCAUUUUCUAAUAUUGACUUCUCCUAGUUAGUCUGAUAUUAUGAAGAAUUAAAUAUCAAGGUCAAAGCUUUAAUGAAAGCAACUGUCUCUUUCCUCAUCUCAAAAAAUAUCAUCAGUUGCCUUUGAAUUUUACAGGCCUCUUUGCAAUAUUAAUAGUUUUAGAAACUUCCUAAAAUGGAUGUUGUCACCAAAAAAAAAAAAAGAAAAAGAAAAAAGGCAAACAAACAGAAAAAACUACAUCCCCUUUUUUCAUUGAAAAUUUAAAAAGGAAGCUGGCCCAUCGUCUGGGAGUUCUGUUCCCUGGAAGGUGGGAAUAGAAGAGGAUUUAUGUUCUAUGAGGUGGCAAAAACCAGAAGAACUUCUCUGGCUUUGGAAAUGACUUUGACCUCCAGAGCGGUAUUUAGAAAAGUCAUUAAAAAUUCCAUUGCUAAACAUUGGAGGGCUUCUGGCUUGUAGGGUGAAAGGGCUUGGCUGAAUUUCAGCAAAAACUUAGUAACAUAUUAUGAUAUGAGGAAAGAACAGAAACAAAAGGCUCUGCCUGGGUAACAGGGCUACCAGCUGAGCAACGGACUGAGAAGCUGUUGCUAAGGAGCGAUUCGGAAAGUUAGAGUUCACAUGGACAAAUAAGAGUGGAACCAUAGCAAUUUGGACGGAGUCUCGCUCUGUCGCCCAGGCUGGAGUGCAGUGGCGCGAUCUCGGCUCACUGCAAGCUCCGCCUCCCGAAAAUUCUAAUUUUCUGUUGGAGCUGUGAUGGCAUCUUCUAGUCAUGAGGGAAAGAUCAAGAGAAGGAAGAGGUGUCAGCCGUGACAUCAUUUAGCAGAUAUACUAAUCAGCGUUCCUCUGAAAUAUCUGUUAUCAAGUAAUAAUAAAAUUCAGUUGCUC
rnacentral:lncRNA from 1 species